rnacentral:rRNA from 1 species
CACGUAGGGCGCAAGCGUUGUCCGGAAUUAUUGGGCGUAAAGAGCUCGUAGGCGGUCUGUUGCGUCCGCUGUGAAAACCUGCAGCUUAACUGUGGGCGUGCGGUCGAUACGGGCAUCACUGGAGUUCGGCAGGGGAGACUGGAAUUCCUGGUGUAGCGGUGAAAUGCGCAGAUAUCAGGAGGAACACCGGUGGCGAAGGCGGGUCUCUGGGCCGUUACUGACGCUGAGGAGCGAGAGCGUGGGGAGCGAACAGG